rnacentral:rRNA from 1 species
AAAUUGAAGAGUUUGAUCAUGGCUCAGAUUGAACGCUGGCGGCAGGCCUAACACAUGCAAGUCGAACGGUAACAGAAAGCAGCUUGCUGCUUUGCUGACGAGUGGCGGACGGGUGAGUAAUGUCUGGGAAACUACCUGAUGGAGGGGGAUAACUACUGGAAACGGUAGCUAAUACCGCAUAACGUCGCAAGACCAAAGAGGGGGACCUUCGGGCCUCUUGCCAUCGGAUGUGCCCAGAUGGGAUUAGCUAGUAGGUGGGGUAAAGGCUCACCUAGGCGACGAUCCCUAGCUGGUCUGAGAGGAUGACCAGCCACACUGGAACUGAGACACGGUCCAGACUCCUACGGGAGGCAGCAGUGGGGAAUAUUGCACAAUGGGCGCAAGCCUGAUGCAGCCAUGCCGCGUGUAUGAAGAAGGCCUUCGGGUUGUAAAGUACUUUCAGCGGGGAGGAAGGGAGUAAAGUUAAUACCUUUGCUCAUUGACGUUACCCGCAGAAGAAGCACCGGCUAACUCCGUGCCAGCAGCCGCGGUAAUACGGAGGGUGCAAGCGUUAAUCGGAAUUACUGGGCGUAAAGCGCACGCAGGCGGUUUGUUAAGUCAGAUGUGAAAUCCCCGGGCUCAACCUAGGAACUGCAUCUGAUACUGGCAAGCUUGAGUCUCGUAGAGGGGGGUAGAAUUC